AGUGAACGCUGGCGGUAGGCCUAACACAUGCAAGUCGAACGGCAGCACAGGAGAGCUUGCUCUCUGGGUGGCGAGUGGCGGACGGGUGAGGAAUACAUCGGAAUCUACUUUGUCGUGGGGGAUAACGCAGGGAAACUUGCGCUAAUACCGCAUACGACCUACGGGUGAAAGCAGGGGAUCUUCGGACUUUGCGCGAUUGAAUGAGCCGAUGUCGGAUUAGCUAGUUGGCGGGGUAAAGGCCCACCAAGGCGACGAUCCGUAGCUGGUCUGAGAGGAUGAUCAGCCACACUGGAACUGAGACACGGUCCAGACUCCUACGGGAGGCAGCAGUGGGGAAUAUUGGACAACGGGCGCAAGCCUGAUCCAGCCAUACCGCGUGGGUGAAGAAGGCCUUCGGGUUGUAAAGCCCUUUUGUUGGGAAAGAAAAGCAGCCGGUUAAUACCCGGUUGUUCUGACGGUACCCAAAGAAUAAGCACCGGCUAACUUCGUGCCAGCCGCCGCAGUAACAC
rnacentral:rRNA from 1 species